rnacentral:piRNA from 2 species
UGAGAUAGUUUGUUGCCAAUGACAACAUCU